AUUGGUGUAGCUCAGUGGAUAGAGCGCGUCUCUAAUAAAGACAUGGUCGUGGGUUCGAGUCCCAUCAUCCGUA
rnacentral:tRNA from 1 species